AAUAGAUACCCGGGUAGUCCCAGCCGUAAACGAUGCUCGCUAGGUGUCAGGCAUGGCGCGACCGUGUCUGGUGCCGCAGGGAAGCCGUGAAGCGAGCCACCUGGGAAGUACGGCCGCAAGGCUGAAACUUAAAGGAAUUGGCGGGGGAGCACAACAACGGGUGGAGCCUGCGGUUUAAUUGGACUCAACGCCGGACAACUCACCGGGGACGACAGCAAUAUGUAGGCCAGGCUAAAGACCUUGCCUGAAUCGCUGAGAGGAGGUGCAUGGCCGUCGCCAGUUCGUACUGUGAAGCAUCCUGUUAAGUCAGGCAACGAGCGAGACCCGUGCCCACUGUUACCAGCAUGUCCUCCGGGACGAUGGGUACUCUGUGGGGACCGCCGAUGUUAAAUCGGAGGAAGGUGCGGGGCUACGGUAGGUCAGUAUGCCCCGAAUUUCCCGGGCUACACGCGGGCUACAAUGAAUGGGACAAUGGGUCCCUACCCCGAGAGGGGUUGGUAAUCUCCCAAACCCAUCCGUAGUUCGGAUCGAGGCUGUAACUCGCCCU
rnacentral:rRNA from 1 species